rnacentral:rRNA from 1 species
CAGUCGCCACGGUAAUACAGAGGGUGCGAGCGUUAAUCGGAUUUACUGGGCGUAAAGGGCGCGUAGGCGGUUUAGUGAGUGUGAUGUGAAAGCCCCGGGCUUAACCUGGGAAGUGCAUCGUAAACGACUAAACUGGAGUAUAAGAGAGGGUGGCGGAAUUUCCGGUGUAGCGGUGAAAUGCGUAGAGAUCGGAAGGAACGUCAAUGGCGAAGGCAGCCACCUGGCUUAAUACUGACGCUGAGGCGCGAAAGCGUGGGGAUCAAACAGGAUUAGAUACCCCAGUAGUCCCUGUCUCUUAUAC